GUUCCCCCAGGAUAGCUGCAGCUCAUAGCGGUUAUAUCCGGUAAGGCGAAUGAUUAGAGGACUUGGGGUCGAAACGAUCUCAACCUAUUCUCAAACUUUCAAUGGGUACAGCGCAUCCCCCGUUGGGCUGGAACCAUACUUCAAAGUUUUU
rnacentral:ncRNA from 1 species